rnacentral:rRNA from 1 species
CGUGCCGGGUGAGGUCGCAUCUCUCCUAUGCAUGAAGAUGAUGAGGAGCGCAGCGAGCGCCACCAUCCAGCACUCUCGUCUUCUUCAGUGUUAAUAGACGCACUCUGUGGCCGCCCACAAGGGUUCUCGUCCUCAUGAGUAGACACCCAGAGAACAUUUUGGUGAUCCAGCACGGUGUUUCGCUGGUCUACACUCGGGCAAAUAAGGCAACUUUUUUCCCCGCCCGGACUACAUAUCAAUAAGCGGAGGAAAAGAAACMMASRGKRAUKSCCYUAGUWCACGGCGARKUUGRAAGCGGCAAUAGCUUCAAAUUUGAAARSYUUGGSCYUCUGGUCCGCAUUGUAAUUUGUAGAGGAKGCUUUUGGGCAGCCACCGGUCUAAGUUCCUUGGARCAGGACGUCAUAGAGGGUGAGARUCCCGUAUGUGACCGGCUUCGGCACCCAAUGUAAAGCUCCUUCGACGAGUCGAGUUGUUUGGGARUGCAGCUCUAAAUGGGAGGUAAAUUUCUUCUAAAGCUAAAUACUGGCGAGAGACCGAUAGCGCACAAGUAGAGUGAUCGAAAGAUGAAAAGCACUUUGGAAAGAGAGUUAAAAAGCACGUGAAAUUGUUGAAAGGGAAGCGCUUGCAAUCAGACUUGGCCUCGGCUGUUCAACCGGUCUUCUGACCGGCCUAUUCAGUCGUGGCCAGGCCAGCAUCAGUUUUGGCGGCCGGAUAAAGGCCUUGGGAAUGUGGCUGUCCCUUCGGGGGCAGUGUUAUAGCCCAGGGUGUAAUACGGCCAGCCGGGACUGAGGUCCGCGCUUCGGCUAGGAUGCUGGCGUAAUGGUUGUAAGCGGCCCGUCUUGAAACACGGACCAAGGAGUCUAACAUCUAUGCGAGUGUUAGGGUGUCAAACCCUUACGCGUAAUGAAAGUGAACGGAGGUGGGAACCGCAAGGUGCACCAUCGACCGAUCCUGAUGUCYUCGGAUGGAUUUGAGUAAGAGCAUAGCUGUUGGGACCCGAAAGAUGGUGAACUAUGCCUGAAUAGGGUGAAGCCAGAGGAAACUCUGGUGGAGGCUCGCAGCGGUUCUGACGUGCAAAUCGAUCGUCGAAUUUGGGUAUAGGGGGCGAAAGACUAAUCGAACCAUCUWGUMRCUGGGUCUGCGACCUUCCCCCCCCGGGAGAGAAAAAAAAACACGGCUCCAAGAAAUGGUUUCGAUUAAGUCCUUUCGCCUUAUACCAAAUUCGACGAUGGAUUGCAGUCAGGAUCGCUUCGAGCUCACACAGUUUCUCUGGCUUCCAUUUUCGCGCUAGUUACAUCUUGUGGGGGCACAGAGUUCUCUCAACAUUCAGACUUCAGAUGGAUGAUGAUGCAUGGCGGGUCAGCUACGUCAUAGCUACGGAUUUGCACUGCACGACUUAGAAACUGACGUCUCAGACGGCGUA